CCUACGGGAGGCUGCAGUGGGGAAUAUUGCACAAUGGGCGCAAGCCUGAUGCAGCCAUGCCGCGUGUGUGAAGAAGGCCUUCGGGUUGUAAAGCACUUUCAGCGGGGAGGAAGGCGGUGAGGUUAAUAACCUCAUCGAUUGACGUUACCCGCAGAAGAAGCACCGGCUAACUCCGUGCCAGCAGCCGCGGUAAUACGGAGGGUGCAAGCGUUAAUCGGAAUUACUGGGCGUAAAGCGCACGCAGGCGGUCUGUCAAGUCGGAUGUGAAAUCCCCGGGCUCAACCUGGGAACUGCAUUCGAAACUGGCAGGCUAGAGUCUUGUAGAGGUGGGUAGAAUUCCAGGUGUAGCGGUGAAAUGCGUAGAGAUCUGGAGGAAUACCGGUGGCGAAGGCGGCCCCCUGGACAAAGACUGACGCUCAGGUGCGAAAGCGUGGGGAGCAAACAGGAUUAGAUACCCGUGUAGUC
rnacentral:rRNA from 1 species